GGGGAAUUUUCCGCAAUGGGCGAAAGCCCGACGGAGCAAUCUCGCGUGAGGGAUGACUGCCUAUGGGUUGUAAACCUCUUUUUUCAGGGAGGAAUCAAUGACGUGUACCUGAAGAAUAAGCAUCGGCUAACUC
rnacentral:rRNA from 1 species